rnacentral:tRNA from 1 species
GGGCCCGUGGCGCAGCUGGUAGCGCACCUGCAUGGCAUGCAGGGGGGCAGGUCGCAGGCACAGCGGGCUCGCCA